GUUUUUAUAGUGUAUUUAACACGUUACAUUUUCAUUGUAAAACUGAAAAACUUCUUUUUCUAAAAACU
rnacentral:tRNA from 1 species